AACUUGCAGCCAGUUGUUCCAUCCUGAGCACCCAUGCUUGUUGUGUAUACUCUGCAGAGCUUACUAUUAUAAAGACUCAAUGGCAACUCCAGUCUGAGAAUUUCAUUAUUUCAAAUCUCAAGAUGAAUUUCCAUCACAAUUUGGCGUCACGAACAGGAUCCCUUGAAAGAUCGUCUGUACCCUAGAAGUCUUCGGUGGCUGGCCACCCGGGAGAGAAAUCUUCUGCCUCUACCUCUAACAUUUAAGAGACAAGAGGACCGAAGUGACUGGGGUUCUGGACCUUCUUCACAGGAAUCCAAAGACCUCUCUUUGGUCAUCUUAAAUCUGGGUGUGGCAGUCCUCUUCUCAACGCCUGCCUUUCUCCUCACCAACGACAAAACCCUCCUCCACAAGAAAUGCAGAGACCAGACUCCACCAAUCAACACUCAGGCCCAUCUCAGACACCAUCCACCGCUCUCCCAGUCUAUGGAGACGGGGCAGCGGGAGGACUGAAUGAUGACGCCACCUCUUCCUCAUCUUUAGGCCCCACUGACUUUGCAAAGAUGUGUCCGCACUGGUGGGGAGAUCUUCGUCUGACUUCAACAGACUGGGAUAAUGCGGGUAAUGCAGCAUACGUCAACGCUCUCAACACACUCCUCAACGCCCUGAGGACCGCCUUCCCCAAUAAAAUUGACAUGUCCAAAAUAACGGGGUGAAAACAAAAACUAGACGACAUCGUAGGAGAUUUCCUCACAAGUCUAACUGUCCUGUUUAAUCAACACAGCGACAUGAUGAGGCUGUGUCUACUCUUUCAAGGCCAAGCAGACAAGAUACCAUUGAGAACAGAGCCAACUUCACUGAACCAGGAAGAGGGGGGCGCGGACGUGGGAGAAGCUUCUCUCGACGACCCCAAAUUCCCAAAGAUGAGUGUUUCAUCUGCAGAGAAAAAGGACACUGGGCAAGGAACUGCCCCAACGGCGAAGGGUCGGGGAGACAAGAACUUUCACUGCCGACUGAACUUGAUAAGAAAGUGAGGAGGGGGCAGACGGGGAGGAGACGUCCAGCCUACCCGCCGAGGAUCAGAGAAGGGAAGUGAAACACACACACAGAAGCUCCAACACAGACACACAUACACCAGAUUACACACAACUUUGUGGUUCUUAUGUUAAGUACAAUAGUGAUGCUUUUAAGAAAAUGCCUCAACUCCAGGUUAACGGUCACAAAGCUUAAUUUCAUGGUUUACUCUGGUGCAGGUUAUUCUGUGGUUAGGAUGUCAGAUUUGCCCACAUCUUCUGAGAUGAGUGGUCGCUUUAUAUUCUUUCAAAUGAAGUUAGACAAAUAUCCCAUUAGGUUUGAAAUGUUUUUUCUGUUGUCUACCUGUUGCCCAAUUAAUCUAUUAGGAAGAGAUUUGAUGAUUAUGUUAGGCCUCAAUUUAGUAUCCUCCCCUGAUGGAGUGACGGUUACACACAAUUCUUCUUCACCCACCUUCACAAUGUCACAGACCACACAUGAGCAGCUGUUUGUAUAUCAGUGGCUACUUCAUAUAAAUGCCUUCACUGAUCUGCUCUCCACGUCACACUCUUAUCAUCCCUUUUUCGGAUUUCAUGCAAACUGAUUCAUUGCAUUGCACUUCACAUGUGACAGACAUAGCAGAUCACAUUUAUGAAUAUCUGUUUUGGCCUUUUUCUGAUGAUUCUCUGAAAGUGUCCAAUAUUUUUUGUACUGGUUCCAGAAGUGCAGCUUUCGUCUCGCUCACCGACCAGCAGCUGGCAUUGUUUCGCGUCUCGAAUUCCAGCCCUCACAUCUCUCUCUCCCAGUUUCAUGAUGACCAGUGGCAAGACUUAGGCCCAUUUGUCAGAUCAUGCCAGGCUGUCGUUGAUUGGCAACCCACAACCACGCCUGACGUAAUGUAUUCCCCCAGUCUGAGUGCAUUUGAUCUAAAAAUGUCUCCAACCUUCUAUUCUCCAGCCACAUGCUCAUUUGUUGUGACUGAAAAUCACCGUCAUUCUUAUGCGAUGUUGUCCAGCCCCUCUGAUGUUUCUCCUCUACUUUCAGAUCUGCCUGAAACAUUGUAGGUAAAGGACAAAUCUGAAGUGGGCCUCAUCAGAAACUGU